UACCAGCACCCCGAGUGGUCGGGACGAUUAUUGGGCCUAAAGCAUCCGUAGCCGGUUCUACAAGUCUUCCGUUAAAUCCACCUGCUUAACAGAUGGGCUGCGGAGGAUACUAUGGAGCUAGGAGGCGGGAGAGGCAAGCGGUACUUAGUGGGCAGGGGUAAAAUCCGUUGAUCCAUUGAAGACCACCAGUGGCGAAGGCGGCUUGCCAGAACGCACUCGACGGUGAGGGAUGAAAGCUGGGGGAGCAAACCGG
rnacentral:rRNA from 1 species